CGAGCGAACCCUUCGGGGUUAGCGGCGGACGGGUGAGUAACGCGUGGGAAUAUGCCCUUUGGUACGGAACAACAGCUGGAAACGGCUGCUAAUACCGUAUGAGCCCUACGGGGGAAAGAUUUAUCGCCAAAGGAUUAGCCCGCGUCGGAUUAGGUAGUUGGUGAGGUAAUGGCUCACCAAGCCUACGAUCCGUACCUGGUUUGAGAGGAUGAUCAGGCACACUGGGACUGAGACACGGUCCAG
rnacentral:rRNA from 1 species